ensembl:snRNA U6 U6 spliceosomal RNA
GUGCUCACUUUGGCAGCACAUAUACUAAAAUUGGAAUGAUACAGAGAGGAUUAGCAUAGCCUCUGCUCAAGUAUGACAUGUGAAGUGUUCCAUAUUUUU